CUCGCAGCGAGGGUGGGGCCGGCGCCCGCAUCACCGUGACACCACCUCCAUUCAGGAGCUUAUCGGGCGCCCGCGGCGCUCCAGGACAACCAGAAGUCAAACUCCCUGAACCACCCGGAGCUGCCGGAGCGAUAAACCCCAGGCCGGCUCCUCCCCUCGCACACCAGUUUUCGGACUCCUGGAGGGAUUGUUUGCUUAGCAGCCUGGGCUGGCGGUGAACUUUUCUGUAAGGAACUACGACAGAUAAACAGCUCCUCUCUGUCUCCUGCUCUGAUCUUUUGUCUGCUCUGGGUCUGGCUGUGACAAACAGGCAUCAUUCAUCAUCCAAGAGGUCCUGACCACACAGCUUCUGUCCUCUUGUUCCCACAAGGAGCAGAGGAACACUUGUGCUUGUCAGUUCUGCGUCUGAUUCAGGAGUCAUAAAAUAGUUACUGUCCUGAUAACAGCA